UUUUGGUACAAGGAAAUAACUACCAAUGGACAGUGAACAAACAUUAGCCUAGGGUCGGCCCUAUCGUUACAUACUAUUUUCCCACAUUGCAAACAACAAAUAAAACUGUCAAAAAGGCAGCUUUAGAGAGAGUGACAAUGAGAUGCAAUAUUUUUCAUGCAAAAAACCCUUUUAGAAACGGAAGGAACAAUAUAAC